rnacentral:rRNA from 1 species
GGGAGCUCUCCCAUAUGGUCGACCUGCAGGCGGCCGCGAAUUCACUAGUGAUUCGUAUUACCGCGGCUGCUGGCACGGAGUUAGCCGGGGCUUUCUUGGUCAGGUACCGUCAUUAUCUUCCCUGCUGAAAAGGGCUUUACAACCCUAAGGCCUUCAUCACCCACUCGGUAUUGCUGGAUCAGGCUUUCGCCCAUUGUCCAAUAUUCCCCACUGCUGCCUCCCGUAGGAGUCUGGGCCGUGUCUCAGUCCCAGCGUGGCUGAUCAUUCUCUCAAACCAGCUACAGAUCAUUGGCUUGGUAGGCCAUUACCCUACCAACUACCUAAUCUGGCGCGGGCUCAUCCAUCAGCGAUAAAUCUUUCCUCCAAAGAGAAUAUACGGUAUUAGCAAUUAUUUCUAAAUGUUAUUCCGUACUGAUGGGCAGAUUCCCACGUGUUACUCACCCGUCUGCCACUAAUUUAUUUAAAGCAAGCUCUAAAUAAAUCCGUUCGACUUGCAUGUGUUAAGCAUACCGAAAGCGUUCGUUCUGAGCCAUGAUCAAACUCUAAUCGAAUUCCCGCGGCCGCCAUGGCGCCCGGGAGCAUGCGACGUC